CUUCUCUAGUUCCAGUAAACAUAUGUGCAAUACCAAGGGUACCGAAAUCAGUAACAGUGACAUCAAGGUUUGUAAAGCCAUGGGGAAGAAAGACAAAAUAAAAAGACAUAAUUUCACAUGGCACUGUUGAAAAGAACAAUGACAAU